rnacentral:rRNA from 1 species
GAUGAACGCUGGCGGCGUGCCUAAUACAUGCAAGUCGAGCGAACAGACGGGGAGCUUGCUCCUCUGACGUUAGCGGCGGACGGGUGAGUAACACGUGGAUAACCUACCUAUAAGACUGGGAUAACUUCGGGAAACCGGAGCUAAUACCGGAUAAUAUAUUGAACCGCAUGGUUCAAUAGUGAAAGACGGUUUUGCUGUCACUUAUAGAUGGAUCCGCGCCGCAUUAGCUAGUUGGUAAGGUAACGGCUUACCAAGGCAACGAUGCGUAGCCGACCUGAGAGGGUGAUCGGCCACACUGGAACUGAGACACGGUCCAGACUCCUACGGGAGGCAGCAGUAGGGAAUCUUCCGCAAUGGGCGAAAGCUUGACGGAGCAACGCCGCGUGAGUGAUGAAGGUCUUCGGAUCGUAAAACUCUGUUAUUAGGGAAGAACAAAUGUGUAAGUAACUAUGCACGUCUUGACGGUACCUAAUCAGAAAGCCACGGCUAACUACGUG